UAAAUGUAGCUUUUGGUUUUCUACAA
rnacentral:piRNA from 1 species